UGAAUUUUUAUUUAUUUUUUAUAAAAAAAAGGAUAUACACGUUGGAUUCAACUGGAUUCCAUCGUGACCUAAGCAUUAAUGCAAUUUGACGAGGAAAAAAAAAAACAUUAAUGCUAGGUAUAUAAUACUGAUCAUUAUUUAACACAUACUUGCAUUUUCGCAACAUAUGACCCUCGGACUGUGGAGAGCAGGACAAAAACAAAAAAAACAAAGACAAAAAACAAAAAACAAAAAACUCACAUACUACUUUCUCACCAGUUUCUUCUCCUCGCUUCCUCUAUUCAAGUUCUUUCUCUCUGCCUCCUCUCUUUAGCUAACCUCUCAAAAGCUCAGUAUUGCUUUUGAUUAAUCUGUUCAGGCUCCAAUAAUAUUUGUGCUAACGUUUCUCUUUGAUGACAUGAUUCUCUGAUCUGGGUCUUCUUUACUUGUUAUUCAGAUCCUAGUUUUCAAUUUCUUUUGGCUUCUGAUACUUCACUGUUGGAAAAGCCAGUAAUAGAAAGCUGCCUAUUUGGUUCUUGGGUUUUUGUUAGUUUCUUGAUUGGUCUAAUCAGAUUGCGAGAAAUGGGUUUUGCCAAUAAGAUGCAGAAAGUGGAUAUUUGCUUUCAGAUUAAUGGUAGACAAAGAAAAUAAAUUGCUUUUGUCAAUCCUGGAUUUCUCUCUGUUUGGGACCUGAAAAAUCAAAAAAUUUUUCUAGUUUGGAAUUUUCUUCACCAGGUUUAUUUCCUAUGGGUAGAGGUAGAGGUAAAGGGAAGAAACAAAGCAUUAUUGCUGUUCGUGAGGAUCCUGGAAGUGGUGAAGAGGAGAGGAUUCCACCAAACAGGAGAAGAGGAAGGCCACAUAAACCAUUGAAGGAAGAUAUUGGAGAAGGAGAAGAAGCUCAGAAGACAGAAGAUGUUGAGGAAGCAAAAAUUUAUGUUUCUAGCAAAGACAUGAAAAACCAAUCUGCCAUAGAGAAUGGAAGGAAAAGGAAGAGGUCUGCUCAGGUCAAAGAAAAUAUAAAAUCAGUCAAAGAGGACAAAAACGUUGAAACAAAAUCAAGUCUUGAUGACUCGACAAAGUCCGUUGGAUUCCGACAAAAUGGGAGUAGGCGGAAAAACAAGCCUCACCGAGCUGCUGAAGCUGGUGUUCAGUGCAAAUGAGUUCAGUUUUGCUGUUGUGAUAGUUGCGCACCUUCUUUGCCGUCAACGGAUAAAUCAGAAGCAUGGAGAAGGGCUUUGUUGGUUCACCUAUCAUUCCUUAUAUUGCCUUCAUUAUAUGUUUUACAUUUCUUCUUUCUUUUGCGAAUGGAUGAUUUUGAUUGUGAGGUUUUGAAAUAUUCGCUUGUGCCAUGCUAUUUGCUUCUAUUACUAGCCACAGACAUUUUCGUUAGCCCUACAAAAUUUUCUCCAACAGCAUUCAUUGUACUUGAACUUAGAUGAGGUUGCCUUCAUUUUUCAUUCUUCAUUUCUCUUUCCUGAAAAGGAAAAUAGAUUUGGGGAUAUUCAUUUCUCUUUCCUGAAAAGGAAAAUAGCUAGGGAGGGAGUAUAUAUGCUUUCAAAUUAUCCAAAUUCCUCCAGCAGAAUACACUGGUGCUUCAAUUCAGGCAGCUCACAAAAUGAAACUGACGGCUUUUAUACCUGGAAAUAGACCCAUACACCUGAAGUCUUGAAUAAAGAUAAUGGCCUUCACAAUGGAUUACAAGUGUUCACUGGAUUUUGUUGGGCUUUACUUGAACAUAUGUGUUUGGUGUUGGCUCUUCUAGCAGAUGAUAAUUGAGGAGACUCAAAUACUCAACAAGGGAAAACCAGGUGAGUUCAACGGUGACGGAUUUCAUUUUUAGUUUACAAUACUAACUCUUUAAGUUAUUAAGUUGCCAGUGCUAGAGUCAUGGAUUUCAUUUACAUGGCUGAAUGAUUAAAAUAUAUAGGUAAGCGUGAUUGAUAGUCAUUCUCCUGAUGUUCUGACAAAUAUGGAAAACAAACAUUUUCAAAACAGAAAUCUAUAUGCAUCCCCUUUUUGGUUCCUAUUUGUGGAAUAGAUUGGGUUAGGUGCCUGAAUGAUCAAGUACUCUGCACAUGCAGAGGGAUCUAAACACGAUAUCAUGUGUGCACCUGUUUUGGUAAUCCAAAUAAAGCUGAAGCUUAGGUAACAAAUUGGCAUCUGAGCAAUUUCACUUUUGUCGAGUGUAUUCAGGAUCCUAUGUUAUGUUCAGUUGUAUCGAGUGUAUUUAGGAUCCUAUGUUAUGUGCAGUUUAGGUUUGAUCUUACACAAGCCAAUUGAACAUACGUGUGCCUCCAAUCUAUACGAAACAAAAUUAUUCCUUACUUGGACUAUCACAUUGAGAACUUAGAAGCAUUUUGUCACUUCGACUAAACUUCUGAAAUACCAUGCAGUGGUUAUUGUGAAGAAUCCUUUAGAUGGUUUAGUGCAACCAGAACACUACCAUUAUCCCACGAGAAGGGUAUACAUUGUGGCUGUUGAAGUGCCUAGAAGGACAAACAAUGAAAUGCCCUUCGGGUAGGAGUCUAGUGAAAACCAGUGUCUUGGAUUACAAACAUGUUAAAUACUAAAGUUUAGCACUGUUGUAUAAUUUCCUUUUGUAUGUGUAGUUUUUGCAGCUAGUAUAAUUGAAUGGCAUAUGGUAGCACACGUUAAAAGCGCCACAUUGUGUGCCAUAUAGCUUGCAGAUCAGAAUACAGGGUGAAAUAAGGAGUGUCGCUUUUGACAGCCUUCUUUUCUGAGAGUGUUUCUUCGUCCAAUCCGUUUUAGAAUUCAUGGGUCAUAUUUUUUUCUUCAUUCAAGGUCACCAAGAGUAAGGAGAUGCCGGGAACUUAUAUCUGAGCCUUGCUAGAGAUGAUACAUCUCAGUUAUACAGAGUUUGUGGGAUUUGACAUCAGUUUCUUUUAGCAAUAUAUUCUUAUGCAAUAUAGAACUUAAAUUUUAGGAGACAUGUCGCAGCCCAAAGCUUUUGUUUAGUCUUUGUCUAGUUGCUAACCAUACCUUUGGCAUUCACCAGUGACUUGGCUUUCAUCAGUUGAUGCUGAUGGCUUGAGGCGAAGAGGUGGUGACCAAGAUUGUGCAUACAAGAAGAUAUCCAUGUUUAACAUUUUUUUUUCUAGUAUAAUUAUAUAGUCCGCAAAAUCAACUACAAAUCUGCCAAACAUGCUUCCAUCAACGAGGUUCACUUAAAAAAUUAUCGUAAUUUCUUUAUCAGUCCAAUUAACUUGAAAUAAUGUGGAAUCAAACUAGAGACAUUAACUUCACCUAACAAAACAUUAGAGUCGUUUGAAUCCAAUUAAUAGCCUCAAAUGACAUCCGAAGUUAACUUGUGAAACCUGCCGGCACAUAUUUCUUCUCUAACAUAUGUUACUUCGAAAUUUACCAUAAAUAAAUCAUGUAUCCAUGACAAUUGAUAGUUUAUGAUAAGACAAGACACGUAUAUGAUAUAUCCAAAA